rnacentral:lncRNA from 1 species
GGGAAAGCUGUCAUGCAUCCAUCUAUAAGGAUUUCUUAGCUCUUUGACAAUUUUAAGAGUACAUCUGGCAAAAGGACACUGUCUGCUAACAUCUCAAACUCAACAGCAAUAAACAAGUUCGAAGACUUGGCCACUAUGGCAGAAUAGAAAGAAACCAGCAGGCCUCAUCUGGGGGCUUGGGAUGAGGAAUGAGAUCUUUAAAUGAUAUAAAGUAAAAACGAGCCUUGACAUUCUUGUUUUUCUUUUUUCCUUUUUUAAGAUGAAUCUUUUCUCAAAAGUCCGGAGUUGAGGAAAGUGAUGACGGGCAGAGGCAGAUGCAGACGAACUGGAAACCCACCACAGCUGGAAUGAGGAGGCUCAAAGGACGUAGAAGCCCCCAUAUCCAGCUCUCAGAAUACUGAAAUAGUGGAUUCCAAGAAAUUAAAAGUGCCCUAGGAGCCUCAGGCUUGGAAAAGGAAAAGGCUGAGGGGGCUCUAGUCCCCAGAAGGACAUUUCACUCAGUGUUGACAAGCUGUCAGACGGCCAAGUAGCAGGCAGGAUGGAGCAGAGACAAGGAUGGCUCAGGGAUGGCUGGACCCGACCUUCCCCAGGGCUCCUCAGUUAUUCACGCUCUGCUCUUUGUUUAAACUAAAACUUCAUCUCAAGACCCCAAAGAUGGACUUCAGGGGAGGGGGGCACUUGACACCCCAUCUCUCUCCCUAAUGUAGCUACUCUGGAAACAAACAAACACUUUUUUUUUAUCAUUAUUGCUUGUUUUCUGAGGGCAAGUCACUGGGCUCAAUGUGAGAGCUACUGGGGCCCAGACUAUCCCCAGUUGCUCCAGAAACAGUGCUUGCUAUUUGGUAGACAUUAAGCACGCCAUGUAGUCUGAGGGAACCUCAGGUCUGUCUUAGUAAUUCUACUUCUUGUCCGGGUUCUGGGUACUACCUUCAUUCUACCAGGGAGCUCAGGUAACUCAGCUAACUAACAUAAAGACCAGCCCUUCUAUUGGGAUCCAGGUCAAAUGAAAACAGGGAAGAAAGAUGGGGGAGAAGAGAAGGCAAAGAAACUACUGUUUUACAAUUUGUCAUUCAUUUUUAAUGCUUGCUGUAUCCCACUCUGUGCCAACCUGUGUUAGGUACCAGAAAGAUACCUGUGGGUGAAGUGUCCCUCCACCGCGAGUCUUUCAGAGCUUCUGGGAUGAUGUUGACCACUGAAACAGCACUCAAUGCAAGGAGAGCGUGAGACCCAGCUACAGAGGAGACUUUAUGCAAGCAAGCAGUUUAACAGAAGAUAAGAUAAGCAGCUAGCUGGAGAGGGAGGUUUGCACAAGUUUGCAGUUUCACAGAACCUAAGAUCUGCUGUAAAUGUCUAUCCAGUACCUGCAUAGAUGUGACACCACUAAGAGAUGUAGCAGUGAUGGGUCCAAGGAACUGGGAAGGAUAGAGUUCUGGGGUUUCCAUGGUGUUGAAUGAAAAGAUCAGGAUUGGAGAGGGCAAUGCUGACUGACUCCCUGGGAUGGAUGGUGUCUUAGUCAGGGUUUCUACUCCUGCACAAACAUCAUGACCAAGAAGCAAGUUGAGGAAGAAAGGGGUUAUUCGGCUUACACUUCCAUGCUGCUGUUCAUCACCAAAGGAAGUCAGGACUGGAACUCAAGCAAAGCAAGAAGCAGGAGCUGAUGCAGAGGCCAUGGAGGGAUGUUACUUACUGGCUUGCUUCCCCUGGCUUGCUCAACUUGCCUACUUAUAGAGCCCAAGACUACCAUCCCAGGGAUGGUACCACCCACAAGGGGCCCUCCUCUUGAUCACUAAUGGAGAAAAUGCCUUACAGCUGGAUCUCAUGGAGGCAUUUCCUCAACUGAAGCUCCUUUCUCUGUGGUAACUCCAGCUUGUGUCAAGUUGACAUACAGCCAGCCAGUACAGAUGGGCUGCAAUGAUUUUACUGUGGACUCAACUUGCUGUAAGGUCUCCUGUCACAAGUAAGUUUAAGCUGCUAUUGAAGGGAGCUGGUCUGAGGAAGGCCAGAUGUUUGGGAGACACUGAGGUCUCCCACCAAAAGUCUAACACUCUUUCUUAGCCAGGCAGCAGUUUAGUACUUCCCAUGUGCUGGCUGCCCAAGAGAUUCUCAAGAACCCACGAGGCCAGAGAGUUAACACCAUGGGCAGCACCCUCCUGGGUCUUAGAAGGCCUGGAGAGGCAGCUAAGAAAAAUUCCUGUCAGAGGGACACAUCUAGGAAUGGGUAAGAACAAUGCUGAUGGUAUGUCAGCAGCUGCCAGAAAGACAAAAGGUUUGAUUCUUUCUGGCUUCUUUAGAAAAACCUGAAAAUUCCAUUCCUUUAAGAUAUCAAUUGCCCACUGUAGGCACUGUCCCUUUUCCUUUUAAGAAUUGAUUCCAACUUCAAAUUAACAUGUAGUGAUUGCACAUAUUUAUGGGGUACAGAGUAGUGUUUCGAUACACACACACGCAUGUGUUUGUGUGUGUGUGUGUGUGUGAGAGAGAGAGAGAGAGAGAGGGAGAGAGAGAGAGAGAGAGAGAGAGAGAGAGAGUCUGAUAGGUACCUGGAGCACCCAUCAUCUCAAAACACUUGAGAGAGCCAACUUACAAAGAGAAACUUGUUGGCCUGGUUCACAGUUUUGGAGAUCUCAGCCCAUGAUCAGCUGGCCCCAUUGCUUUGGGCCUCUGGAAAGACAGCAUAUCCUUGUGGGUAGUAUUUGCAGGGAAAACUGUUCAUCUCAUGACCAGGAAGUAAGAAAGAGAACUGGGAGAAACCAGGGCCCACAAUUCCUCUCAGGCACAUUCAGAGACCUGAAGACGCCCCACUAGUUCUUACCUCUUGGAGGUCCCUCUACCUGCUGGGGACCAAGCUUUUACCACAUAGACCUUUAAUGCCGUGCUUUGUGGCUGCCCUCCUGCAGGGCCUGGGCCUGUAGCCCAUCUCAUUGUCCACCAUUUUGGUGGUAAUAUUGACUUAUAUGCAUGUAUCUUCCUCCCUGACCCCUGGAUAAGCAUCUGAGAGAGGCAGAAAGCUAUCAGAUGACCCUUCUUCUGGGGACCAAUUCCAUUCUGGCAGUGUGGGGGAAUGUUCAGAGGACUCUAGAAACCUCAGAGAGGUCUGCUCCUCCUGCCUGAUGGUGCUGAGUUCCUCCCAGAGCUGACAUUAAGGACAGAGGGCAUUCAGCCCUCUCCACCUCUAGCCCAAGACUCCUCAGUGAUCCAGGGGCUGGCCCCUUUCUAGGUGGCAACCCCUGGAGACGCCAAGCCCCCAUAUUAUUGAGGCUGCAAACCCUAUAACAUGCCUUUUUCUCAGAGCUCCAGAAGGAGUCCUUAAGGCUAAUGCUUCAACUAUGCCACUUGUGAAGCACUCUCCAUAUCUAGACCACAUGGAAUGUGUGUAGAACAUAUUUCUGGAAGAAGGGGGCCUAAAAUGUCAGCCACACAUCCACCGCUACUGUCUGCCACACUCUGAGAGCACACUUCCAUAGUUGCUGUGCUUCCUCUGCCAAUACUGGGCCAAACCCACUUCACCUUUACACCCUCCUGAGGUUGGCACUAUGCUUUAUGCAGAAGCCUAUUCAAAUACACCAUCUACCAGUGAGUAGCAAACGCUCUCCUCCUGUGAUGACCCAAAUCUUUAGAUGCUCAAGCCUCUUACAUCAAAUGCCACAGUAUUUACAUAUAACCUAUGUAGAUCUUACUCUGAGCUUUAAACCAUAAUGUCAGUGCUAUGGAAAUACCUCUGUGGUAUCAUUUAGGGAACAGUUAAGAAAAAGUCCACACAUGCUCAGCUCAGUGCAGGUGUGAUCAUUUUUCGUAACUUCCCACCUGCAUUUGGCAGAGUCCGUGGACGAGGAACCAGCAGACAUGGGGGGUUGCCUAUAUACUAACCAUCAUUGCUUCUGCUGGUAACUACCUGGGUGGAUGGGUGUUCUCAAAGGGCUGUCUCUUCAUUUCUAUCUCUAAAAUAACCAAAAGCUUGAAGAGAAAUAACCAAAACCUUGAAGAGAAGGCUGGGUUCUCUCCAUCUGGUGUGAUCUGCAGUUUGCCACAGCACUGCAUACCCAGCUGCUCUUUAUUUUUUGACUCUGGAGACUCUCCUAUGAAGAACUUGGUGGGCCCCAAGGACCUUCCAUCCCUUAGCAGCUGUGCCUGGGGUCAAGGUGACAUCCAGGCUUCAACUGACUAGGGACCAAGAAAGGUGUUUAAUAAAGACUUUGUUAUUGAAAUUUGGCUUUACCGUGUGGGAGAAGGGCCUGAGGCAGGGAAUAAAGGAGCCAUGGUGACUUCAGCCAGUUAAUCCUAGAGACCGAGAGGUUUUUCAAAGGUGGAGCUUGUGAAGGAACUUCAGUUUCAAUAGCUGCUGCAAGCAUCUUGGAGAGAGGAACUGGGCAUGAGACAGACAGCAGCAAAGGCUCUGGACACUGCCU